rnacentral:lncRNA from 1 species
GUACUUUUUUUAGUAAGUAAGAACUGAGUGGUUUAGGGAUUGCCUUCUCAGUAAUCAGUGACUGGUGAGGGUUUUUUUUUGUUGUUUUUUUGUUGUUUUUUUGUUGGUUUUUUUUUUUUUUUUGGGUUUUUUUUUCUGAAAGUAUGACUAGAGAGCCCUUAGGUAUUCUCACUGCUGAAAUAUUUAUACCACAGGAAGACUGAAUUCCCAGUGAAAUGCAGUUGCAGCCAUUUUCUUUGAAAACACAGCUGGAGCCCUUUCAUGGGGAUAAUGAAGAGAGAAGUAAGGCACUGCUCAUUAGCUAUUACUGUGUGAAAGGACUCAGCCCACUGCCAAGAACCCCUGCCAUGCCACUCUACUGUGAGGCAUAGUGUAAGAAUUACAGCUUUCAGGUUCUCUACGCUGACUGAGAAGUUUCCAGGACAAGAUCGUUACGGCGACUGAACGUAUUCUGGAAAGUAAGAUCAUCUGAAAAACUACAAGGUAAUGAAAUGCUUAUCCUCUAGGGAUGUUUAGCCUUUAGAGAGUUGUAUGAAAAAGCCACAGAAGAAGCAUGUUUUGUCAGUGUAACUGAAACUGAGUAUCCCCCAAGGACAAAUUCAGCGCAAGAAUAUAAAAUGGAGAGUCGGGAUCUUUCUGAAAUGUUCCCUGCAUAAAUUCAGUUUGAUUCACAUGAGCUGUGAAAGGAGAACUCUUUAAUAAGGAAAUUUAUUCUUAUAGUCUUAUGAAGUCAAAUAUAAAAUGUCUGUUCUCGCCACUGCUAUUCACCGUAAUUGGAUUAUUUUCUGAAUAGUUUGACUGAAUACUGCAAGAUCAACAAAGAUGGCAGAAUCUCAUCCUAAAUUUGAGUAAAAGUCCUAUAAUACAAGAGACAUACAUGUAAGAGUCAGUUUUAUAAUACAAAAUCCAAUAAUUUAUGCUUUCACCUGCACAAUAAAAAUUAUAGGAAAAUGGAUAGAGUUUUACUA